rnacentral:lncRNA from 1 species
UUGUAACGCCCCAAAAUAUGAAUUCUUAUUUUGUUGAGAUAUGUCAUAAUUAAGUGUUUGUCCCAGUGAUUAAGAGUUUGAGUAUGUGUUUGAGGUCAGGUCUUCGAGUCUUAGAGUGAGCAAAGUGAGAAGGUUUUGAUAUAUUUUUGUUUGUUUGUUCAAGUUGGCCUAUUAGUAGUUGGGUUUGAAUUAAAUUAGGUCUUUGAGUAAUCUGAUAAGAAUUGAGUAGUUGGGUUGGUUUUUGUUUUGUUUUAUUUUAUUUUUAAUACUUUAUUUAUUUUCUUUUUUAAAAAAUCCCAACAAAUCCCCUAACUCCCUUUUUAGUUUUUCACGUCUCAUUUGUUUCCAACUUUUUUUCAUUUGGUUUUGUACCCAAAUUAUCUUACGUUUAUUCCUUUUCUAAAACCAUAUUCACGUCGUCAUCUACUUUCCAUGUUUUAGUGUUUUGUUUCUUUAUUUUUUGUUCUUUUU